rnacentral:rRNA from 1 species
AUUGAACGCUGGCGGCAUGCCUUACACAUGCAAGUCGAACGGCAGCGGGGGAGAAGCUUGCUUUUCCUGCCGGCGAGUGGCGAACGGGUGAGUAAUACAUCGGAACGUGCCCUGUAGUGGGGGAUAACUAGUCGAAAGAUUAGCUAAUACCGCAUACGACCUGAGGGUGAAAGUGGGGGACCGCAAGGCCUCAUGCUAUAGGAGCGGCCGAUGUCUGAUUAGCUAGUUGGUGGGGUAAAGGCCUACCAAGGCGACGAUCAGUAGCUGGUCUGAGAGGACGAUCAGCCACACUGGGACUGAGACACGGCCCAGACUCCUACGGGAGGCAGCAGUGGGGAAUUUUGGACAAUGGGCGAAAGCCUGAUCCAGCAAUGCCGCGUGUGUGAAGAAGGCCUUCGGGUUGCAAAGCACUUUUGUCCGGAAAGAAAUGGCUCUGGUUAAUACCUGGGGUCGAUGACGGUACCGGAAGAAUAAGGACCGGCUAACUACGUGCCAGCCGCCGCAGUAACAC